GGACAGGUGACUGAGUGGCCGAAAGUAGCUCCCUGCUAAGGAGUUGACUCCGAAAGGGGUCCGUGGGUUCGAAUCCCACCCUGUCCGCCA
rnacentral:tRNA from 1 species